rnacentral:lncRNA from 13 species
UUCAGCCAUAUCUUUUUAUUGGAGAAUUUAAUCCAUUUGCAUUCAAAGUAGUUAUUGGUUUGGGACCCUCUUGCUGGACGAGAUUCCCGGGCUCGUGUUCAGUUCACAACAGAAGACAAUAUGGUGAUUCCUCAAGGAUCUGGAACCAGAAAUACCAUUUGACCAAGCAACCCCAUUACUGAAGUCCAUUUGGAUGACUCCUUUCUCCCUGCAACAUCUCUCCUUGCCAGCAACCAAAGCUCUCCUUUCUUCAGCUUGAAGAUCUGAAGCUUACCUGUGACAGACUGGUUGUAUUAAUGGCCCCAAUCCUUCACUUCUCUCAUUAAAGGUACUGUGUUCUGCCUCAUCUUUGGGCUAAGCUAUGUCAUGCUUUGGCCAGCAAGAUGUUAGGAAACAUGUUGCAAACAAAGGCUAGAAAAAGGCUUGCACCUUUCCUUCUGCUCAUUCUUGCAGCUCUGCUAUAUCCAUGAGAACAUGCUUAGGCUAGCCUGCCAGGGGUAUGUGAGAAACACAUGGGACAGAGCCACACCAUUUCUUCCUCAAUGAGGGCAUGUUAGAUCAGCCAGUAGUCAGCUGGUAUACAGACAUGAGUGAGCCCAGCCAAGACCUGUCAG